rnacentral:rRNA from 1 species
CACUCCUGCGGGAGGCAGCAGUGGGGAAUUUUGGACAAUGGGCGAAAGCCUGAUCCAGCAAUGCCGCGUGAGUGAAGAAGGCCUUCGGGUUGUAAAGCUCUUUUGUCAGGGAAGAAACGGUGAAAGCUAAUAUCUUCUGCUAAUGACGGUACCUGAAGAAUAAGCACCGGCUAACUACGUGCCAGCAGCCGCGGUAAUACGUAGGGUGCAAGCGUUAAUCGGAAUUACUGGGCGUAAAGCGUGCGCAGGCGGUUUUGUAAGUCUGAUGUGAAAUCCCCGGGCUCAACCUGGGAAUUGCAUUGGAGACUGCAAGGCUAGAAUCUGGCAGAGGGGGGUAGAAUUCCACGUGUAGCAGUGAAAUGCGUAGAUAUGUGGAGGAACACCGAUGGCGAAGGCAGCCCCCUGGGUCAAGAUUGACGCUCAUGCACGAAAGCGUGGGGAGCAAACAGGAUUAGAAACCCCUGUAGUCCC